AGUGAACGCUGGCGGUAGGCCUAACACAUGCAAGUCGAACGGCAGCACAGUAAGAGCUUGCUCUUACGGGUGGCGAGUGGCGGACGGGUGAGGAAUACAUCGGAAUCUACUUUUUCGUGGGGGAUAACGUAGGGAAACUUACGCUAAUACCGCAUACGACCUACGGGUGAAAGCAGGGGAUCUUCGGACCUUGCGCGAUUGAAUGAGCCGAUGUCGGAUUAGCUAGUUGGCGGGGUAAAGGCCCACCAAGGCGACGAUCCGUAGCUGGUCUGAGAGGAUGAUCAGCCACACUGGAACUGAGACACGGUCCAGACUCCUACGAGAGGCAGCAGUGGGGAAUAUUGGACCAUGGGCGCAAGCCUGAUCCAGCCAUACCGCGUGGGUGAAGAAGGCCUUCGGGUUGUAAAGCCCUUUUGUUGGGAAAGAAAAGCAGCAGGUUAAUACCCCGCUGUUCUGACGGUACCCAAAGAAUAAGCACCGGCUAACUUCGUG
rnacentral:rRNA from 1 species